UUUUGCUCCUCAGCUCCCCUUGGCCUUCCUUUGUGCGCGCCACCAAGGACGGCAUCGAACCCCACCAAGUUUGUGCCAUAGUUUAUACUUGAAUAUUGUCCGCUUCUGUCCCGUCUUGAUUCUUCCAUUUGUUGAGUUUGUAAAACGUACUCUGAACAUACCAUGUAAGCCUUGCUGAC